UGAGCAAUCUGCCCUUCUCUUCGGAAUAAGCGUUGGAAACGACGUCUAAUGCCGAAUACGACCUCCUUUCGCAUGAUCGGAGGUGGAAAGCUCCGGCAGAGAAGGAUGAGCUCGCGGCCUAUCAGCUAGUUGGUGUGGGUAAUGGCCCACCAAGGCGACGACGGGUAGCCGGCCUGAGAGGGUGACCGGCCACACUGGGACUGAGACACGGCCCAGACUCCUACGGGAGCAG
rnacentral:rRNA from 1 species